ACACGUGUAACUUGAAUGAAACAAAGAACUACACAUGCGUUUCAGUCCAGUUGCAUUCCCGUCGAUUCACAUGUUUUUUGAUCUUCGCCGCCUAUGCUUCCCUGCGAGGAUUCAUGCAUCUGAAAUAAAGCUAUUUCAUCUUUCCAAGUAAUCGAUUCAUGCAUCUUAAUUAAGGCUAUGUCCUCUUUUCAAGUGGCGACGGGACCAGGUUCCAUUACCACCGUCGACUCCGGGCAAUGGUGUCUGAAGAACACGCCAACACGGUCCUCGAAACUCAUCCAAUUAUCGAGCCCCUCCCUUCAUGGACUGCGCUGCCAUUUUUCUGAAGACACGUUGCAUAAGGUUUCAGUUAUAGACGGAUUGUUUGGAAGCUUACAUAAUUGGGUCGUAGAACUGUGAGAAUAUUUGUCGUCACCCAUAAACUCAGGUAAUUUAAUUGAUGAAAUGCUUUUUGGUUCUGUUAUGUAACGGUCUUCGUAUCAAUAUUGCUGCCAUGAAAUUACUUGCAAUUACCUUUUGUAUCUCUUUCUGCGUGAAAUUAGAAGUAAGUGCACUUUCUUUGUCUUAUGACUGAUAUUAUGUGUACUACCAUUUUCAGUAUUCACAUAGAUUUUUUA